GUCAGUCAACACAGCAGAAAGCACAACCACCAUGACUCUCAUCUCCAUCCUCAUCUGGACGCUGCUCUGCUGCUUCUUCCAAGGUUCUAAUGGUCAACUGACUGUGACUCAGCCUGCAGCAAAAACAUCUUCAUUUGGAUCCACAGUCACUCUGACCUGUAACAUCAACCCAAAAGUUACAUCUUGGACAGAUGGAGAUAGUAGAGUAAACUGGUAUCAGCAGAAAUCUGGACAAGCUCCAAAGUUGGUCAUCAAAUAUGGUAAAAAUCCCACAGAUGACUUUUCCUCUCGAUUCUCUGGAAGAGGAAACGGACAAAAUAAUGAAAUGACCAUCAGUGGAGUUCAGGCUGAAGAUGCAGCAGUUUACUACUGUAAGGCUUAUGAGGAAAUAAACAGUGUCUGGGUGUUGACACAGUGAUUUAUGGUCGUACAAAAACCUCCUCAGUCAGACUGCAGAGACUCUGAACUGUUACAGCAGGAACCAAGUGCAGCUGCUGAAGAGGAAGAAACUCUGACACAGACCACUGAACACAGAGCUGACAGGAACCUCACCAAGCUCCACCAACUUUAUUCUAAUAUAAAGCACACUCUGCAUGAUGUGUGUUGGUAUUUUAUAAAAUACAUUUAUUGCCUGAUAAAAAAAAAAAAAAAUUUUCCUGAUCACACAUUUCACUUAUGAGCAUGAUUUGGUUCACACAGUUGUUCUUCAACAUGUUUCUUGUUUCUUGAGAAGUUGAAAUGAUGAUCACAGAAACAUUAUUAGAACCAAACAACAAAAUACA